rnacentral:rRNA from 1 species
UGCGCAGGCGGGUUUGUAAGUCAGUGGUGAAAUCCUGCCGCUUAACGGUAGAAUUGCCAUUGAUACUGCGAAUCUCGAGUAUGGUUGAGGUAGGCGGAAUGUGUAGUGUAGCGGUGAAAUGCAUAGAUAUUACACAGAACUCCGAUUGCGAAGGCAGCUUACUAAGCCAUAACUGACGCUGAGGCACGAAAGCGUGGGGAGCGAACAGGAUUAGAUACCCUGGUAGUCC